rnacentral:rRNA from 1 species
CACGUAGGGCGCGAGCGUUGUCCGGAAUUAUUGGGCGUAAAGAGCUCGUAGGCGGCCUGUUGCGUCCGCUGUGAAAGCCCGGGGCUUAACCCCGGGUCGGCAGUGGAUACGGGCAGGCUAGAGGUAGGUAGGGGAGAAUGGAAUUCCCGGUGUAGCGGUGAAAUGCGUAGAGAUCGGAAAGAACACCAACGGCGAAAGCACUCUGCUGGGCCGACACUGACACUGAGAGACGAAAGCUAGGGGAGCGAAUGGG